rfam:Candidatus Magasanikbacteria bacterium RIFCSPHIGHO2_01_FTLL_50_8 rifcsphigho2_01_scaffold_25639, whole genome shotgun sequence.
GGGGAUGACAGGCUUCGAGGGGAAAAAGAAGGCCCGAACGGGCGUGUCGGGAAUGUCCCGCUUCUCGUAAAACGCGAGGCAACCCAAAGUGCAAACAUUGUUGCACGCGCAAAGGCAACGGUAGCGAACUUGUUCGCUCCGUCCUUUGCACCAGCAUUAGCUUAAUCGCUUGAUGCCGCCGACGCAUUCGCUGACGGAAUGCGUAUCGGUGUUAUACACAGUCAGGUAGGGAUCGCGGGCGCCAUUGGUCGCGCGCGGUUUCCGAAAUUAAUACCGAUCGUGUGCGCGUUUCUUUGUUCGCGUGUUGUGCGCGCAUACGUAAAAUCACGCGGACUACACACGUAGGCCGAGGGCGACCUUUUUCUUCGACCCGGGUUCAAUUCCCGGCAUCUCCACCA